GAGGCUGCAGUGCAGCCCGAAUGGGGCUCCUGGCCCCACGCCAUUAAUAUCAGUCCGAAUUAGCUCAGUGUGUGGACUAUAUUCAGGCAGUACUGAAUAUUGAAUUGCUGACCACCUCUUGAUAAAACCUUUUUGAGGUUUUUUUUCGGAGCAGCAUUUUCAUAUACCACAUAGAAGAGGCUGUAUUUCACUAUUGGAAGCAGUUUUGAUAACAAGUCGAUGGUGGAAACUUGGGUUGAAAGCGGACAAGAACAAGAUUUUAACUAGCUCUCCAGUCCUCUGCAGUGCAAGAGCCGCUCCCGCAGACUGACAAUCAUGCUUCCUGCUGCAGAAUUGAACUGACAGGACUGAUGGAGGAUCCCCAGAGGGUUAACAUCUGGGCCCUUGUGCAGGCCAGGGUGAUGGGGCACCACAGUGAAAAUUCAGCAUUCCUUCAGCUGGAUGUAGGAUAGAAGUGGUUUAUUAACAUGGAAUCUCCUUUAACGGAGUCUCAAGAGCCUCCUUGUAUAGUUUCUGUUUUUCCUAAAUUGUGUAUAUUCUCAUUUUUAUGGUGUGUGGUAAAGAUGAAAUAUGACUCUGGGGCCGUUUUCCUCCCCAUCUAUGUGAUUUUUUAAAUACUAUGAUAGAAACGCUCGGGACUCUAAGCCUUGAUAAGUUCAUGUUCUUGGGAGGACACAAAGUAUCGUCAAGAGCCACAAAGCACCUCGCGACAGAGCUGACCGAUUUGGAGCUGUACAGACCCACACGUCUGCAUCGUUUACAACCUCCACAGGGCCGAGACCACCUGCAGCAGCAUGUCACCCACUUGUCCACUACCUACAGAAGCAAGAUCCUUUAAUUAUUAUUAUUUUUUUUAAUUUUUUUUUUCCAGUGUUCGUACCAUUGUGUUUUUCCACAGACUCUCAAAGACUUCAGUAUUUAAUAUGUUCCAAUGUUACAUCUUCCAGUCACACUGCUAGGGGCAAAUACUUCAGGAGGGAGAAAUAAAAUGAUCUAUAUACCCACAAGCCAAGUCCACACUUUUUCCAGCACACUAAACUCUGCCAGAUUUCAUCAGUCAGUUUGUCCCUUUGUUUCUUCAUUUUCAGAUCUGCCCUUAACCUACAGCAACUGAUCUUGUCUUCACACACUAAACUACUGAAACCUAUACUUACAAACUCAACAGUAUUUACUGAGGCUAAGAGUCCCCAAAUUCCCACGCAGUUACUAGACGCUUUGUAGUACACAGUAAUUUUAAAAACGUUUUUAACCUUGCUUUGAUUAAAUAUUUUUUUUUGGCUUCUUUUUUUUUUUUCUUUUGCUUUGCCAGUAUAUUAAAGUGUAAUCAUGUGCGUUGUGAUAUAGAAGUAGCUGUAGAAACCGCAUUGUUUCCUUGUGGUAAGUGAUUGAGAUGCUGCCACGGAUUUGAGACACUGAUGAAUGGUGCUAUUUUGGACUUUAAUCUGCUCCUUGGUAAGGUAGCUGAGAUGGUUUUUAUUUCAUAUCUAUUCACGUCUGGAGAAGGUGUUUGGUUCUUUGUCGUAUGGUUGUUGUAACUUGGUCUGGAUCGACUUUUUUUUUUUUUUUUUUUUUUCCUUCUCCCCUUCCUUCCCUCCCUCCCUCUGUCCCUGCCUCCGUCCGUCCCUCUGUCCCGCCCUCCUUCCUCCCACUGUCGUUUCUGUGCGGCUUUCUCUUUGGAUUAAACAAAAAAUAAAUAAAGAAAAUGAUGCACACUAACAAAGACCACAAUAAUUUUUCUCAGAGGAGACAGUCUCUUCAAACAGGGUGAUAGCAAAAAAAUAAAUAAAUAAAUAAAAAUAGCGGGAGCAAUCACAAAACUGCAAUUAUUAAUGUUUAUACCUUUAAGGUCAAGAGCUGAUACGAUGGAUUAGUCGCACUUACUGACUCUAGAUAAUUUGGCAGUGGCAAAAUAGCAUACCAUCUGUGAGCAUUUUCUCCUUGAUAGUACUAUGUCAAGGACCUGAAGUCUUUAGCACUUGAAGUAUGUGAAGCGAUUAAAUGUUGGGCAGAGAGUUGAGGCUUCUUUUGAGGUGUCUUUUGCUUAAUAUGUAAAUAUAUGUUCACCCAGAGAAAGGCACCACCUUUCCUAUAGGACAACUCCAAAAUCAUACUUUUUGUUUUUUUUUGGGAGAUUGUCCAUGGAAAGGUUGGUUUAGGGUUACCAAUCAGCUGCAUAGUCUUUACUAGUCGGUAAUUACAAGAUGCUUCUUGCAGCCAAAAGGCUCACAUCUCAUAGCACACGAUCUGAUCAUGCUCUUUCCUAAGCUGAAAUGUAGCACUGAUGAAUUAGUGUUCAUCAACUUUUCUUGUUCAUUUAUAUUUUUAUUUAACAGUUUUGUGAAUGACUUGUAGGUCACAUUGAGGACAGAAACCAAAAAGCUUUCUCUUUAUUUUGGGUGAUUCAGUAGCAAAAUGUCGUCCUUCGGUAUUUGCAGUUUUGUCUUUGCUUCCAGUUAAACAUAUACUUUAAACAAUUCCCAAUUCAACGACCAACUUGAAAGCCCACUUUAGUUUCUUCGUCUUCCUUUUUUUCUACUAUAGUGGGAACCUUCCCAGCUUGCUCUAGAUCUUCCCUAGUGCAUCAGCUGCAUGCUUUCCGCUUUGAUUCGUUUUCAUCUUCAUCUUGACUGUUUGCAUUUUCUCUCAUAGGCUAGGUAUUCUAGCUCCUGUAAAUAGCAUAGAUUAGGUAGGGUCUGCUGUACUAUGUUGAAAUACUAUAAUAACUAUUGGUGUAAAAAGAUUUAAAAAAAAAAAGUCAGCUUGUGAUCAAUAAUGAAGCACUCUGUAUUGUACAAGUAAUUUUGACCAUUUAAGCAGUAGACCAUUAAACAUGCAAGCUCUCAA